GAUGAACGCUGGCGGCGUGCCUAAUACAUGCAAGUCGAACGGUUCGGGGAAACCCGGAUAGUGGCGCACGGGUGAGUAACGCGUGGGUGACCUGCCCCGAAGGGGGGGAUACCAGCUCGAAAGGGCUGCCAAUACCCCAUACGCAUCUGGUAGUUAGAGAGCCAGAUGGAAAGGUGCAAAUCGCUUCGGGAGGGGCCUGCGUCCCAUCAGCUAGUUGGUAGGGUAAGAGCCUACCAAGGCGAUGACGGGUAGGGGGCCUGAGAGGGUGGCCCCCCACAAUGGAACUGAAACACGGUCCAUACACCUACGGGUGGCAGCAGUAGGGAAUAUUGCAGAAUGGGCGCAAGCCUGAUGCAGCAACGCCGCGUGGGCGAUGAAGGCCUUCGGGUCGUAAAGCCCUUUUCGACGGGACGAGGAAGGACGGUACCGUUGGAAUCAGCCUCGGCUAACUACGUGCCAGCAGCCGCGGUAAAACGUAGGAGGCGAGCGUUAUCCGGAUUUACUGGGCGUAAAGCGCGUGCAGGCGGUAUGGUAAGUUGGCUGUGAAAGCUCUCGGCUCAACCGGGAGAGGUCGGUCAAGACUGCCGUACUAGAGAGUGGUAGAGGAAGAUGGAAUUCCGGGUGUAGUGGUGAAAUGCGUAGAUAUCCGGAGGAACACCAGUGGCGAAAGCGGUCUUCUGGACCAACUCUGACGCUCAGACGCGAAAGCUAGGGGAGCGAACGGGAUUAGAGACCCCGGUAGUCCUAGCUGUAAACGAUGUAGACUGGGCGUUGGCGGGUUUAAAUCCGUCAGUGCCGAAGCAAACGCGAUAAGUCUACCGCCUGGGGACUACGGCCGCAAGGUUA
rnacentral:rRNA from 1 species